rnacentral:ncRNA from 1 species
UGUCCUCAGUCCCGGGUCGUCUCGGCGCGGUUCCGAGCGGUCGCUCCCUCGCGAGGUGCCGCGGGUCAGCGGCUGACGCCAGCCACCUUCCCGACCCGUCUUGAAACACGGACCAAGGAGUCUAACAUGUGCGCGAGCCGCGGGGCAGUACGAAACCCGUAAGGCGAAAUGAAGGUGAACGCCGGCGCGGUCCGGCGCAGGUUGGAUCCCGUCCCGUCGGGGCGGGCGCACUACCGGCCGAUCUUCUCCGCCCUGUCGGCGAGGUCGAGCGAGAGCGUGCAAGUCGGGACCCGAAAGAUGGUGAACUAUGCCUGAGGAGGUUGAAGCCAGAGGAAACUCUGGUGGAGGACCGUAGCGAUUCUGACGUGCAAAUCGAUCGUCAAAUUUGGGUAUAGGGGCGAAAGACUAAUCGAACCGUCUAGUAGCUGGUUCCCUUCGAAGUUUCCCUCAGGAUAGCUGGCGCUCUGUCGCAGUUUUAUCUGGUAAAGCGAAUGAUUAGAGGUCUUUGGGGGGCGAAACGCCCUCAACCUAUUCUCAAACUUUAAAUUGGUAAGAAGCCCGACUCGCUCGUUUGGAGCCGGGC